UCCGUCCGCAUCGGACACUCCUCGACCCUGCUCCUCCCGCUGCCGCUGACCCCGUUCGUCCCAUGCUGCCGCCGUCGCCGCCGCUGACCCCGCCCGUCCCCGGGCCGCCGCCGCCGCCGCCCACCCCGCACCGUAGGAGCUCCUCUGCUCCACGUAACUGGCAAUGUAUUGUAUAUGGAUCUGUGAUUUAGAUCUCUGUUGGACAGAUCUGUUGUUAAUCGAGAUUGAUGUUUGACAAUCUGUACGGUUGCCGCCACUCCCUCCCUGAUGGUUUGAUGAGGGCCACUGAUGUUAUGAAUGCCGGCAAGGUUGCGGUGGUCUGCGGUUAUGGUGAUGUUGGCAACAAGGGCUGUGCUGCUGCCCUCAAGCAGGCUGGUGCCCAUGUCAUUGCGACUGAGAUCGACCCCAUCUGUUGUGACGUUCAUGGCUUUUGGGGCUCAUAGUUCAACUGUUGCUUUUGGUUAUAGCUAUAGUACAAUAGUUCUUGCACCUGCACUUUUUUCUUAUUAGCUAGUACUCUAGGCAUCUAAAAUCAUUUUGUUGUAACGGCAUGCAGGCGACUGGAUCAUCUCGUGUUGUCUUGGAAUCAACAAGUGACAGCAUUGCAGUAGAUGGCCGCUGCAGCUAAGCUCUCGACACUGGACCAGCAAGGCAGCAAACCAUGCAUCUACGUGGAGGUGCCAUUUGCUUUGGGAAACAGAAUAGCAGUUGGUAAUUUCAUCUUUUGAAGUGUUUUGCCUUUGCAUACACUUAGUAGGUUGGUAGGAGAUACAUUUGGGAUGGCAUGUGACAGUAGUGUUGAUGCGAAACAUUUGGACAUAAUCUCUAUAUAUUUGUAUGAUAAGCUGCACAAUGUGUCGCAAAUAGACCAUUCUGUGCACGAUUCAGAUCA